UCCAGGGACAAGGACAGUCAAUGAGCAAUCUUUCAACCUUUUCCUGUGGUUCCGAUGAGCAGUCAGGUUUGAGACGUGCUGCUUGACACAGUGAUACUCUCUCCCUUUCCACCUCCUUUUCAGGCCCGCUUGGCUGUGGUUUACUUUUACACAUGUAUGUCAAUAGCUUCAACGUGCCCCAUCAUUCGACUUUUCUCAGGUUAGCCAAACACUCUUACGUGACCAAUGGGGUUCUGAACCAGAAGCUUAGAACUUGGAUCCUAGAUGUGAGAAAUCAUUUUCUGUAUGACCUUGGCGAAGUUGUUCCAUUGCUCAGUGUCUGAUUUUCUCCACUGGUAAUAUACAAGUAUUCAAGCCUUGCAUCUGCCAACCUAAGCAAAAAUAUCUACAUGAAAUAUAUUGAGCUGGGAAAUAAAUUUUGAAGGAACUUCAGAAGAAUUAGAUCUACAGCUUCGUAUAUUAGAUCUUGGGGAAAACUUCAGCCUGGCUGAAUUAAAAUACAGACAUGUGGUUCUAUAAUUUAUGGAAAUGUAUAUAUAUAAUAAGGACAGAUUAUUUUCAUCUUCUUAGAAGCAUGAUCCUGCCUGAAGGGGCAGAGUUGGCCCAAGCUGUCUUUGAGAUUAUUUAUAGGGACACUAUAUAUUAAUGACCUAGGGCUUUUCAUCAGACUUGCAUACCAAAUGCAUCAUUUGUGUAUAGUUUCUGGAGGUGUGGGGGACUUUGAAAAAGAACCUACCUUCUGCUUCAUUUCCUUGCCUUUGCAGACAUAGCGCUGUUUUAAUCCAGCACAGAUGAAGAAGGUGGUCAUCCUCCUUGGAACGGAGACUGCACAGCCUGGCCUUCAUGGCGAGGCUCCCUUCUUCUACCUUCACUGCUUCCCAGCCCGAUGCCAACUAUACACUCUGGGUGUCUACAUGGGGAGCCUCAGCAUCCCUGGCCCGAUGGGUGAACCCAGGGGCUCCUGUCUUUGACUCCUCACCUCCUUCCCUGCUGCCCUGAGCUUGAAUCUUCCUGCAGACUCUAGCCUGCUGCCAACCACUGGAUGUGAUGUGGCCCCGAGCCGGGAGGCUAUGCAGGUUCUAUCCACAGAUAUGGACAUGCAGCCUAAUUCUUUAAACCCCUCCUGGAAGGAUGUACUUGUUGUAAGGAUGCAUGAGUAUGUGUGCUUGUUUACUCAAGCCUUGUCUCCCACCUUCUGGACUUUAAGCCUCUUGAGAGAGGGAGAGGCCAGGCCACAUCACCCCGCUUAUUUUUUCAUUGCCAUGCCUGGCAUGAUGCCCAGCACUGAGUCGGCACCUGAAACCACUUCUGAAUAAAUAAAUACCCAGCGGUCACUAAGUGUGAAUGUUGCUGUAGGAAAGAAAGCUCUUUUGUUCUGUGAAAUUAAAUUCUCUUUCCCAUGCCAACAGGUGAAGUGACUCUUCCAAAAGGCACCAGCCAACAGGAGAGAAAGGAAGAAUAUGGGAGACAUACAGGGACAGGUAAAAUCCAUUCGUGAUGCUCCUACGGAUCUCUGUCUUGUCACACCUUCUAAUUCCAAGUGCUACGAACAUAACUGAAGCCGCUCCUAUUCUUAAGGCUUAAAUUAUUCCCUAUGUAUGGAUGGAAAGGUCAUUUUAUAACUCAUAGUUCCUUUCAGCCCAAUUAAAUGCCCAAGCCUGUCCU
rnacentral:lncRNA from 1 species